ACUCCUACGGGAGGCAGCAGUAGGGAAUCUUCCACAAUGGGCGCAAGCCUGAUGGAGCAACACCGCGUGAGUGAAGAAGGGUUUCGGCUCGUAAAGCUCUGUUGUUAAAGAAGAACACGUAUGAGAGUAACUGUUCAUACGUUGACGGUAUUUAACCAGAAAGUCACGGCUAACUACGUGCCAGCAGCCGCGGUAAUACGUAGGUGGCAAGCGUUAUCCGGAUUUAUUGGGGCGUAAAGAGAGUGCAGGCGGUUUUCUAAGUCUGAUGUGAAAGCCUUCGGCUUAACCGGAGAAGUGCAUCGGAAACUGGAUAACUUGAGUGCAGAAGAGGGUAGUGGAACUCCAUGUGUAGCGGUGGAAUGCGUAGAUAUAUGGAAGAACACCAGUGG
rnacentral:rRNA from 1 species